rnacentral:rRNA from 1 species
UACGGAAGGUCCGGGCGUUAUCCGGAAUUAUUGGGUUUAAAGGGAGCGCAGGCGGGAGUAUAAGUCAGCUGUUAAAUAUCAGGGCCCAACUCUGUUAUGCAGUUGAAACUAUAUUUCUUGAGUACGCACAGGGAUGGUGGAAUUCAGGGUGUAGCGGUGAAAUGCUUAGAUAUCCUGAAGAACUCCGAUCGCGAAGGCAGCCAUCCGGAGCGUAACUGACGCUGAGGCUCGAAGGUGCGGGUAUCGAACAGG